GUAGGUGGCAAGCGUUGUCCGGAAUUAUUGGGCGUAAAGCGCGCGCAGGCGGUUCUUUAAGUCUGAUGUGAAAGCCCACGGGCUCAACCGUGGAGGGUCAUUGGAAACUGGAGAACUUGAGUACAGAAGAGGAAAGCGGAAUUCCACGUGUAGCGGUGAAAUUCGUAGAGAUGUGGAGGAACACCAGUGGCGAAGGCGGCUUUCUGGUCUGUAACUGACGCUGAGGCGCGAAAGCGUGGGGAGCAAACAGGAUUAGAUACCCUGGUAGUCCACGCCGUAAACGAUGAGUGCUAAGUGUUAGGGGGUUUCCGCCCCUUAGUGCUGCAGCUAACGCAUUAAGCACUCCGCCUGGGGAGUACGGCCGCAAAGGCUG
rnacentral:rRNA from 1 species